UAGGGAAUCUUCCGCAAUGGGCGAAAGCCUGACGGAGCAACGCCGCGUGAGUGAUGAAGGUCUUCGGAUCGUAAAACUCUGUUAUUAGGGAAGAACAUAUGUGUAAGUAACUGUGCACAUCUUGACGGUACCUAAUCAGAAAGCCACGGCUAACUACGUGCCAGCAGCCGCGGUAAUACGUAGGUGGCAAGCGUUAUCCGGAAUUAUUGGGCGUAAAGCGCGCGUAGGCGGUUUUUUAAGUCUGAUGUGAAGCCCACGGCUCACCGUGGAGGGUCAUUGGGACUGGAAACUGAGUGCAGAAGAGAAGUGAUUCAUGUGUAGCGUGAAAUGCGCAGAGAUAUGGAGGAACACCCAGUGGCGAAGCGACUUUCUGGUCUUGUAACUGACGCUGAUGUGGCGAAGCGUGGGGGAUCAAACAGAUUANAUNCCCUGGUAGUCCACCGCCGUAAACGAUGAGUGGCUAAGUGGUUAGGGGUUUCCGCCCCUUAGUGCUNGCAGCUAANGCAUUAAGCACUCCCNCCUGGGGANNACGACCGNNAGGUUG
rnacentral:rRNA from 1 species